rnacentral:rRNA from 1 species
GUCGAGCGAACGGACGAGAAGCUUGCUUCUCUGAUGUUAGCGGCGGACGGGUGAGUAACACGUGGAUAACCUACCUAUAAGACUGGGAUAACUUCGGGAAACCGGAGCUAAUACCGGAUAAUAUUUUGAACCGCAUGGUUCAAAAGUGAAAGACGGUCUUGCUGUCACUUAUAGAUGGAUCCGCGCUGCAUUAGCUAGUUGGUAAGGUAACGGCUUACCAAGGCAACAAUGCAUAGCCGACCUGAGAGGGUGAUCGGCCACACUGGAACUGAGACACGGUCCAGACUCCUACGGGAGGCAGCAGUAGGGAAUCUUCCGCAAUGGGCGAAAGCCUGACGGAGCAACGCCGCGUGAGUGAUGAAGGUCUUCGGAUCGUAAAACUCUGUUAUUAGGGAAGAACAUAUGUGUAAGUAACUGUGCACAUCUUGACGGUACCUAAUCAGAAAGCCACGGCUAACUACGUGCCAGCAGCCGCGGUAAUACGUAGGUGGCAAGCGUUAUCCGGAAUUAUUGGGCGUAAAGCGCGCGUAGGCGGUUUUUUAAGUCUGAUGUGAAAGCCCACGGCUCAACCGUGGAGGGUCAUUGGAAACUGGAAAACUUGAGUGCAGAAGAGGAAAGUGGAAUUCCAUGUGUAGCGGUGAAAUGCGCAGAGAUAUGGAGGAACACCAGUGGCGAAGGCGACUUUCUGGUCUGUAACUGACGCUGAUGUGCGAAAGC